GACGAACGCUGGCGGCGUGCUUAACACAUGCAAGUCGAACGAGGCCCUGCCUUCGGGCAGGUGAUCUAGUGGCGAACGGGUGAGUAACACGUGGGCAACCUACCCUCAGCUCUGGGAUAACCCCGGGAACCGGAGCUAAUACCGGAUACGACCAGGAACGACAUCGUGCCUGGUGGAAAGUUUUUCGGUCNGAGGAGUGGGCCCGCGGCCUAUCAGCUUGUUGGUGGGGUAAGUGGCCUACCAAGGCGACGACGGGUAGCCGGCCUGAGAGGGCGAACGGCCACACUGGGACUGAGACACGGCCCAGACUCCUACGGGAGGCAGCAGUCGCGAACCAUUCACAAUGGACGCAAGUCUGAUGAUG
rnacentral:rRNA from 1 species